AGAAUCAACGCUGGCGGCGUGCCUCAGACAUGCAAGUCGAACGCGAAAGUCCCUUUCGGGGGACAAGUAGAGUGGCGCACGGGUGAGUAACACGUAGGUAAUCUACCUUUGGAUGGGGAAUAACAACCGGAAACGGUUGCUAAUACCGCAUAAUGCAGCGGCACCUAAUGGUGACAGUUGUUAAAGCGGGGGAUCGAAAGACCUCGCGUCUAAAGAGGAGCCUGCGGCGGAUUAGCUAGUUGGUAAGGUAACGGCUUACCAAGGCCACGAUCCGUAGCC
rnacentral:rRNA from 1 species